rnacentral:rRNA from 1 species
AACGAACGCUGGCGUCAUGCCUAACACAUGCAAGUCGAACGAGACCUUCGGGUCUAGUGGCGCACGGGUGCGUAACGCGUGGGAAUCUGCCCUUGGGUCUGGAAUAACAGUUAGAAAUGACUGCUAAUACCGGAUGAUGACUUCGGUCCAAAGCCUUGUCGCCCACGGAUGAGACCGCGUCGGAUUAGCUAGUUGGUGAGGUAAAAGCUCACCAAGGCGACGAUCCGUCGCUAGUCUGAGGGGAUGAUCAGCCACACUGGGACUGAGACAAGGCCCAGACUCCUACGGGUGGCGGCAGUGGGGAAUAUUGGACAAUGGGCGAAAGCCUGAUCCAGCAAUGCCACGAGAGUGAUGAAGGCCUUAGGGUUGUAAAGCUCUUUUACCCGGGAUGAUAAUGACAGUACCGGGAGAAUAAGCCCCGGCUAACUCCGUGCCAGCCGCCGCCGUAACAC